UACGGGGGGGGCAAGCGUUGUUCGGAUUUACUGGGCUUAAAGCGUUCGUAGGCGGCGCAGUAAGUAGGGUGUGAAAGCCCUCGGCUCAACCGAGGAAUUGCGCUCUAAACUACUGUGCUUGAGGAAGCUAGAGGUGAGCGGAACUGAUGGUGGAGCGGUGAAAUGCGUUGAUAUCAUCAGGAACACCGGAGGCGAAAGCGGCUCGCUGGGGCUUUUCUGACGCUGAGGAACGAAAGCGAGGGGAGCGAACGGG
rnacentral:rRNA from 1 species